UGCAGCCCCAGACUUUGUGGGCGGGGCAGGCUCAAGUCAGUAAUUUCAGUGCAGCCUCUGCCCACCAUGCUUGGUGAACUCUGCACUUUUUGCAAGCAAACCUAUUUGUCUCAAGGGGACACCCCCUGAGGACAAAAAGUAGACCUCGGGCUUCUCUGCAAACCUCCAGAACUCAGUUGGUCAGAGGAAAGGAGUAGCUGAUGGAUGCUGCUUCCAAGGACAUGAGGAAAACAUCCCCAUCCCGGCCAGGAGGUGCUGUGCAGCGUAAAGGACCAGGUGGCCAAGAAUGGAACCACACGCCCCUAACGUAGCAGCUGUUCUUGCAGCCUGGAGGAGGGAGGAAGCAUACAGCUCAGCACCAAGAGGGAUUGCCCACCAGGAGUUCCUGAGAAGUUUUCUGCCACUGUUGCACAGCUGUCCCAGGUGACAGACACUUGCCAAGGGCAUGCAUCACCUCUUCCGAAGCUAAGCCCUCUUGGCGGCUGCCCCAAAAGACCCAGAAUGAAGCCCUCUGGCUCUGCACCACGGCAAGUAAUGCCACUGUGAAGUUUCACUGUAAUAAAGAGAUGAUUCAGUAAUGA